GUGGGGAGCGCCGGAUCCUGGGCUGUGUCCCCCAGUGCCCUGAGAUCCAGGGCCUGUGCCGCUGGAAUCGCGCUCCCGGGCCGCGCCGCCCCCU
rnacentral:pre_miRNA from 1 species